CUGAACUCAAGGCUCAGGAUCUUCAAGUACAGAACCUGAGACCAGAUGUAUUAUAAGACUGGAUCACUAUUUCAAUAAACCUAUUUCUUUUUAGCUUCAAGACUUGAUUUUUAUUUUUUGUUUCUUAGCUAAGAAAUUUUUUGCCACAAUUUUGGUGACACCAAUAUAAUUAGGCAGAAAUGCUGACCCUAAUGGUUCACUUCUCCAAGAAGGGAUUGUCUUUUUGGAUGCAUGAAUCUGGGGCUAUUUGCCUUUGGUCCCUUCUUGAAGGGGAGAUCAAGGAAGAAAGAUUCUUUGCCCAUUUGGACAUCCUUCAAGCUGAUGAGAUUUGGGCAAAAUCUCCAACUAAUUUGGGACCAUUUAAAUCAGCCAUCCCAAUCUCUAUUGCCACCAAAGGAGUAAAAUCAUGGUUUAUACUUCAAUAUCUACUGUCUAAGGAGAAAGAUGCGCAGGAGAAUUCUAGAGGUGGAGCCAAGAUGGUGGAGUAGAAGGCAGCAAAAAGGAAGCACUAUGAGAAUCCUCUCCAACAAAACCUAAAAUAAGACCUAAAAAUGACGACUGGAGAAAAGAAACAAGAGGAAGAAAUAAAGUAACGUUCAUGCACA
rnacentral:lncRNA from 1 species